CAUGCAGUCGAGCGGAAAGGCCCUUCGGGUACUACGAGCGGCGAACGGGUGAGUAACACGUGAGCAACCUGCCCCAGGCUUUGGGAUAACCCCGGGAAACCGGGGCUAAUACCGAAUAUGACCUUGCACCGCAUGGUGUUUGGUGGAAAGUUUUUCGGCUUGGGAUGGACCACCUCCUAUGACAGCUUGUUGGAGGGGUGAUGGCCUACCAAAGCGACGACGGGUAGCCGGCCUGAGAGGGCGACCGGCCACACUGGGACUGAGACACGGCCCAGACUCCUACGGGAGGCAGCAGUGGGGAAUAUUGCACAAUGGGCGGAAGCCUGAUGCAGCGACGCCGCGUGAGGGAUGACGGCCUUCGGGUUGUAAACAUCUUUCAGCAGGGACGAAGCGUAAGUGACGGUACCUGCAGAAGAAGCGCCGGCCAACUACGUGCCAGCAGCCGCGGUAAGACGUAGGGCGCGAGCGUUGUCCGGAUUUAUUGGGCGUAAAGAGCUCGUAGGCGGCUUGUCGCGUCGACCGUGAAAACCUGGGGCUCAACCCCAGGCCUGCGGUCGAUACGGGCAGGCUAGAGUUCGGUAGGGGAGACUGGAAUUCCUGGGUGUAGCGGUGAAAUGCGCAGAUAUCAGGAGGAACACCGGUGCCGAAGGCGGUCUCUGGCCCGAUACUGACGCUGAGGAGCGAAAGCGUGGGGAGCGAACAGGAUUAGAUACCCUGGNAGUCCACGCUGUAACGUUGGCGCUAGGUGUGGGGGGCUUCUCCGGUUCCCUUGUGCCGCAGCUAACGCAUUAGCGCCUCCGCUUGGGGAGUACGGCCGCAAGUCUAAGACUCGAGNAUUUGACGGNNCCCGCACAGGCGACGUANCAUGCGNUUANUCGAUGCAUCGCGAAAGAACUUACUGGNUUGACAUGGCCGCAAACUGUUCAGAGAU
rnacentral:rRNA from 1 species